rnacentral:rRNA from 1 species
GGGGAAUUUUGGACAAUGGGCGAAAGCCUGAUCCAGCAAUGCCGCGUGUGUGAAGAAGGCCUUCGGGUUGUAAAGCACUUUUGUCCGGAAAGAAAUCCUUGGCUCUAAUACAGUCGGGGGAUGACGGUACCGGAAGAAUAAGCACCGGCUAACUACGUGCCAGCAGCCGCGGUAAUACGUAGGGUGCGAGCGUUAAUCGGAAUUACUGGGCGUAAAGCGUGCGCAGGCGGUUUGCUAAGACCGAUGUGAAAUCCCCGGGCUCAACCUGGGAACUGCAUUCGUGACUGGCAGGCUAGAGUAUGGCAGAGGGGGGUAGAAUUCCACGUGUAGCAGUGAAAUGCGUAGAGAUGUGGAGGAAUACCGAUGGCGAAGGCAGCCCCCUGGGAUGAUACUGACGCUCAUGCACGAAAGCGUGGGGAGCAAACA